rnacentral:rRNA from 1 species
UACGGAGGGAGCUAGCGUUGUUCGGAAAUACUGGGCGUAAAGCGCACGUAGGCGGCGCAGCAAGUCAGGGGUGAAAUCCCGGGGCUCAACCCCGGAACUGCCCUUGAAACUGCAGUGCUAGAAUCUUGGAGAGGCGAGCGGAAUUCCGAGUGUAGAGGUGAAAUUCGUAGAUAUUCGGAAGAACACCAGUGGCGAAGGCGACUCGCUGGACAAGUAUUGACGCUGAGGUGCGAAAGCGUGGGGAGCAAACAGG